rnacentral:rRNA from 1 species
GACGAACGCUGGCGGCGUGCUUAACACAUGCAAGUCGAACGGAAAGGCCCUGCUUUUGUGGGGUGCUCGAGUGGCGAACGGGUGAGUAACACGUGAGUAACCUGCCCUUGACUUUGGGAUAACUUCAGGAAACUGGGGCUAAUACCGGCUAGGAGCUCCUGCUGCAUGGUGGGGGUUGGAAAGUUUAGGCGGUUGGGGAUGGACUCGCGGCUUAUCAGCUUGUUGGUGGGGUUGUGGGUUACCAAGGCUUUGACGGGUAGCCGGAGCGGGCGGGUGACGAGGCACAGUGGGACUGGGACUGGGACCAGACCCAUACGGGAGGGAGCAGUAGGGAAGAUUGAUAAAGGGGCGGGAGCGUGAUGCAGCAACGGCGCGGGCGGGAUAACGGUCUUCGGGUUGGAGACCGCUAUCGCCUUUGACGGAGAGGGAGAGAAGGGAACGGGUAGAGAAGGACCGGCCAAAUACGGU